GGCCUCCCAAUGCUUACCACAGGCUGUGUUCUUUACACUGACUGUAUAAAAAAUGAAGGUACUGUAAAUGCACCCCAUAUAUACUCAGCCCAGGCCCUUUGCCUGGUCUGUAUUGUGAAUGGGGGGACAUGG